CACAAGAUUAUGUAAUAGCUAAUACCAACAAAAUUGAUCAAUACUUUACCUACUAAUUAAACUACAAGAGAACCCUAAUAACAAAAAUUCAAGAAAAGCAAAAACCCUAGAAGAUUUUGAAUUAUUUGUAUGUGCUCUUCUUCAAUCCAGAAAUUCUGGGUUAAAUUUAUAUGUAUGAACAGAUAAUGGGUUAAAUUUAUACACUCAAAAAUACGGUUAGAAACAAGAAGAUAAACAAACCUACAGCGCCGAGAAAAGGGAGGCGUUGCACAGCCGUUUUCUCCUUCCGUCUAUCUAAUGUCUUCG
rnacentral:lncRNA from 1 species